UACGUAGGGGGCAAGCGUUGUCCGGAUUUAUUGGGCGUAAAGAGCGUGUAGGCGGCCAGACAGGUCCGUUGUGAAAACUCGAGGCUCAACCUCGAGACGUCGGUUGAAACCGUAUGGCUAGAGUCCGGAAGAGGAGGGUGGAAUUCCCGGUGUAGCGGUGAAAUGCGCAGAUAUCGGGAAGAACACCCGUGGCGAAGGCGGCUCUCUGGGACGGUACUGACGCUGAGACGCGAAAGCGUGGGGAGCGAACAGG
rnacentral:rRNA from 1 species